UUACCGGCUUGACAUGACAGAGAUUGCUUCGGCCACAGGUGCUGCAUGGCUGUCGUCAGCUCGUGUUGUGAAAUGUUCGGUUAAGUCCGGCAACGAGCGCAACCUAUCUUAGUACCAGCAUAUGGGACUCUAGGAGACCGCCGGUGUUAACCGGAGGAAGGCGGGGAUGACGUCAAGUCCUCAUGGCCCUUACGCCGGGCUACACACGUACUACAAUGGGAAACAACGGGCACCGCGAGGGGAGCAAUCCGUAAAACAUCUCAGUCCGGAUUGAAGUCUGCAACUCGACUUCAUGAAGUUGGAAUCGCUAGUAAUCGCAAUCAGCACGUGCGGUGAAUACGUUCCCGGGCCUUGUACACACCGCCCGUCACACCACGAAAGUGGUUUACCGAA
rnacentral:rRNA from 1 species